ncrna:unclassified sequences L4-Archaeoglobi ribosomal protein leader
CUGACAACGGCGCAUGGGUGGAGAUAGGUGUUGAGCGCCCAUUGCCCCUCAAGACCGCAUCGCGGUACAGAGCAGGGCAGCGCCUGAACGUCAG